rnacentral:rRNA from 1 species
GAUGAACGCCGGCGGUGUGCCUAAUACAUGCAAGUCGAGCGCACUGGCCCAACUGAUAUGACGUGCUUGCACUGAAUUGACGUUGGAUUCCCAGUGAGCGGCGGACGGGUGAGUAACACGUGGGCAACCUGCCCUGAAGCGGGGGAUAACAUCUGGAAACAGGUGCUAAUACCGCAUAACAACGAAAACCACAUGGUUUUCGUUUCAAAGAUGGUUUCGGCUAUCACUUCAGGAUGGGCCCGCGGUGCAUUAGCUAGUUGGUAAGGUAACGGCUUACCAAGGCGAUGAUGCAUAGCCGAGUUGAGAGACUGAUCGGCCACAAUGGAACUGAGACACGGUCCAUACUCCUACGGGAGGCAGCAGUAGGGAAUCUUCCACAAUGGGCGCAAGCCUGAUGGAGCAACACCGCGUGAGUGAAGAAGGGUUUCGGCUCGUAAAGCUCUGUUGUUGGAGAAGAACGUGCGUGAGAGUAACUGUUCACGCAGUGACGGUAUCCAACCAGAAAGUCACGGCUAACUACGUGCCAGCCGCCGCCGUAACAC